rnacentral:rRNA from 1 species
GUUUCAGCCGCCGCGGUAAUACGGAGGGAGCUAGCGUUGUUCGGAAUUACUGGGCGUAAAGCGCACGUAGGCGGCUACUCAAGUCGGGGGUGAAAGCCCGGGGCUCAACCCCGGAACAGCCCUCGAAACUAGGUAGCUAGAAUCUUGGAGAGGCGAGUGGAAUUCCGAGUGUAGAGGUGAAAUUCGUAGAUAUUCGGAAGAACACCAGUGGCGAAGGCGACUCGCUGGACAAGUAUUGACGCUGAGGUGCGAAAGCGUGGGGAGCAAACAGGAUUAGAAACCCUAGUAGUCC